rnacentral:rRNA from 1 species
UACGGAGGGUGCAAGCAUUAAUCGGAUUUAUUGGGCGUAAAGGGCGCGUAGGCGGAUUUGUAAGUCAGAUGUGAAAUCCCGAGGCUUAACCUCGGACCCGCAUUUGAAACUGUAUAUCUAGAGGAUAGUUGGGGAAAACAGAAUUCCACAUGUAGCGGUGAAAUGCGUAGAUAUGUGGAGGAAUACCGGUGGCGAAGGCGGUUUUCCAAAUUAUUCCUGACGCUGAAGCGCGAAAGCAAGGGGAGCAAACAGG